UAGAAGGAAGGAGGCAAAGAGCAUGGAGAAGACCACAUGAGGGGCUUUACAUGCCAGGCCUGGAAUAGGGACCUAUCUUUCUUUUCUACUUCCACUGGCAAGCAUUUGAUCUCAUGGCCACUCCAGACUACAAGGGAAGCUGGAAAAUAGACUCCAGCCUUGAGUCCAGGUAGAAACAACGGCCAGUUUUUGUUGGACAGCCAGCAGUCUCUGCCCCGAUGGCCUUAUCAAAAUGGAAACAUUUGAAAGGAAAACUAUAGCUCAGAGUCCAGUUUAACUCCCACAUGUCCAGGACCUCUCAGACUUCCCAAAGCUGCCGGUAGAGGGCCAGACUUUCACUCUGAGGACUGUCCCCUCUCCCAGCUUCCACGGAUUCUGGAGCAGAGAAUCGGAAGCCCUAGGACCACAUUUGAGGUUUAUUCUUUGGAUCAAGUAUGAGCAUCUGUGGCUCUAUUUUUAAAGCCAAGUACUUCUUCUUCUGGACGGGUAUUGGGGUAAAUUGUGCUAGAUAUCCAGUUAAAGAAAGUACACUCAAGAAACAGCUUUCCAGCCAGGCUUGGUGGCUUGCACCUGUAAUCCUAGCACUUUGGGAGGCUGAGAUGGGAGGAUAGCUUGAAGCUGCGAGUUUGUGACCAGCCUGGGCAACAUAGUAAGACCUCGUCUUUACAAGAAAUAAAAGUAUUAGCCAGGCAUGGUGGCACACACCUGUAGUCCCAGCUACUGAGGAAGCUGAAGCAGGAUGAUCCCUUGAGCCCAGAAAUUUGGGGCUGCAGUGAGCUAGGAUUACACCACAGCAUGCCAGCAGAAAAAAAAAUUUUUUCUAUUAAUAAUGUUAAUUUUUUUUUACCGUUGUUAUGGAAGAUAAAGCCCAGCCUGACAUAUGCUCUUUCAAAGGAAGUUCUCAGGAAUAUCCUGUAUAUGGCACCAGACCUCAGACAAUUCAGGCCUCUUUCUUGAUCCGGGAGAGAAUCAACUCUGAUAAGAAACACCUACAAUCUAUUCUCUCUGAAGCCUGCUACCUGGAGGCUUAUUUUGUGUAAUGGGAACCUCAGUUCUCAUUUAAGAGGAACCAUUAAGGGGUCUCCACAACCCCUUAUCUUAACCCAGACAUUCCCUUCUAUUGAUUCUAGAUAUUUAGACAAUAACUUAACCUCUUUCUACCAAUUGCCAAUCAGAAAGUCUUUGAAUCCACCUGUAACCUGAAAGCCCCACCUUGCUUUGAGUUGUCCUGCCUUUCCAGACCAAAUCAGUGUACAUCCUACAUGCAUUGAUUGAUGUCGUAUGUUUUCCUAAAAUGUUUAAAACCAAGCUGUAGCCCAACCACCUUGGGCACAUGUCCUCAGGAUCUCCUGAGGGCUGUGUCACAGGCCAUGGUCACUCAUAUUAAGGGAGGAGACCACCUUUCGUAUGGUCUUAUGCCCAAUUUCUGCCUCCAAAGAAAGAAGUAAAAACUAAAAUGCAGGAAUGAAAUCCACAAGCAGACAGCCAGGCGCCACACCCUGGGCCUGGUAGUUAAAGAUCGACCCCUGAUCUAAUCGGUUAUGUUAUCUAUAGAUUACAGACAUUGUAUAGAAAAGCACUGUAAAAAUCCCUGUCCUGUUCUGUUCUGAUUACCAGUGCAUGCAGCCCCCAGUCAUGUACCCCCUGCUUGCUCAAUUGAUCAUGACCCUCUCACGCGGACCCCCUUAAAGUUGUGAGCCCUUAAAAGGGACAGGAAUUGCUCACUCAGAGAGCUCAGUUGUUGGAGACAUCAGUCUUGCUGAAGCUCCCAGCCAAAUAAAGCCCUUCCUUCUUUAA